rnacentral:rRNA from 1 species
AUUGAACGCUGGCGGAAUGCUUUACACAUGCAAGUCGAGCGGCAGCGCGGGGCAACCUGGCGGCGAGCGGCGAACGGGUGAGUAAUGCAUCGGAACAUGUCCAUGUCGUGGGGGAUAGCCCGGCGAAAGCCGGAUUAAUACCGCAUACGCUCGAGAGAGGAAAGCCGGGGACCGCAAGGCCUGGCGCGAUUGGGUUGGCCGAUGUCCGAUUAGCUAGUUGGUGAGGUAAAGGCUUACCAAGGCGAUGAUCGGUAGCUGGUCUGAGAGGAUGAUCAGCCACACUGGGACUGAGACACGGCCCAGACUCCUAUGGGAGGCAGCAGUGGGAAUUUUGGACAAUGGGGGCAACCCUGAUCCAGCCAUUCCGCGUGAGUGAAGAAGGCCU